ACUCAAAGGAAUUGACGGGGGCCCGCACAAGCGGUGGAGCAUGUGGUUCAAUUCGACGCAACGCGAAGAACCUUACCCAGGCUUGAAGUGCGAGUGACAACCCUUGAAAGAGGGCUUCCGCAAGGACACUCGUAGAGGUGCUGCAUGGCUGUCGUCAGCUCGUGUCGUGAGAUGUUGGGUUAAGUCCCGCAACGAGCGCAACCCUUGUCUGCUGUUGCCAUCAGGUUAAGCUGGGCACUCUGCAGAGACUGCCGGUGAUAAACCGGAGGAAGGUGGGGAUGACGUCAAGUCAGCAUGGCCUUUAUGUCUGGGGCUACACACGUGCUACAAUGGUCGGUACAAAGCGUCGCGAUCCCGCAAGGGGGAGCUAAUCGCAUAAAACCGGUCUCAGUUCGGAUUGCAGGCUGCAACUCGCCUGCAUGAAGUUGGAAUCGCUAGUAAUCGCGGAUCAGCAUGCCGUGGUGAAUACGUUCCCGGGCCUUGUACACACCGCCCGU
rnacentral:rRNA from 1 species